rnacentral:rRNA from 1 species
AUAUCAAUAAGCGGAGGAAAAGAAACUAACAAGGAUUCCCCUAGUAACGGCGAGUGAAGCGGGAUGAGCUCAAAUUUAAAAUCUGGCUGGUUUACUAGUCCGAAUUGUAGUUUAUAGAAGCGUUUUCGGUGGCAGCCUGGGUAUAAAUCCUUUGGAAUAGGGUAUCAUAGAGGGUGAGAAUCCCGUCUUUGACUCAGUGCAUGCUACUAUGUGAUACGUUUUCAAAGAGUCGAGUUGUUUGGGAAUGCAGCUCAAAAUGGGUGGUAAAUUUCAUCUAAGGCUAAAUAUUGGCGAGAGACCGAUAGCGAACAAGUACCGUGAGGGAAAGAUGAAAAGCACUUUGGAAAGAGAGUCAAAAAGCACGUGAAAUUGUUGAAAGGGAAGCGCUUGCAGCCAGACGUGCCCGCAGUUGCUCAUCCGGGGUUUUCCCCGGUGCACUCUUCUGUGGGCAGGCCAGCAUCAGUUCUGGCGGUUGGAGAAAGACCUGUGUCAUGUGGCUGUUUUCGGGCAGUGUUAUAGGGCAGGUGGAAUGCAACCAGCUGGAACUGAGGUCCGCGCAUCUGCUAGGAUGCUGGCGUAAUGGCUGUAAGCGG